rnacentral:rRNA from 1 species
CCCGCACAAGCGGUGGAGCAUGUGGUUUAAUUCGACGCAACGCGAAGAACCUUACCAGGGCUUGACAUCCCCUGACCGCGUAUGAAAGUACGUUUUCACCCUCGGGUGACAGGGAGACAGGUGGUGCAUGGUUGUCGUCAGCUCGUGUCGUGAGAUGUUGGGUUAAGUCCCGCAACGAGCGCAACCCCUACGUUUAGUUGCUAACGCGUGAAGGCGAGCACUCUAGACGAACUGCCGUUGACAAACGGAGGAAGGUGGGGAUGACGUCAAAUCAUCAUGCCCCUUAUGUUCUGGGCUACACACGUGCUACAAUGGCCG